rnacentral:rRNA from 1 species
UACAGAGGUCUCAACCGUUGUUCGGAUUCAUUGGGCGUAAAGGGUGCGUAGGCGGUCGUGCAAGUCGGAUGUGAAAUCUCAGGGCUCAACCCUGAAACUGCAUUCGAUACUGCGUGGCUAGAGUGCUGGAGAGGAGACUGGAAUUUACGGUGUAGCAGUGAAAUGCGUAGAUAUCGUAAGGAAGACCAGUGGCGAAGGCGAGUCUCUGGACAGUUCCUGACACUGGAGACACGAAGGCCAGGGGAGCAAACGGG